rnacentral:lncRNA from 1 species
AUCACUGCAGCUAGAGCAGAAUCGUACAAAGUGAUGCGCAGUGUUUCAAACCUGACAUAAUUCUCCGACGAACUUUCUGGGAACUGCCUUCUGCGUUUCGACCCAGUUUGUGUGAAUACGCGACUGAGAAAUAAUGGCAUCAAAUAAGACCUCCAACAACAACCUCAAUGGAUCGAAAACUUACGCUGGAAAUACGGCCUCGCCUACCGGCAAAGCGUGCCGACGGUCGUUGGUGCUGUGGACGAUACUGACAAGCGGACUAGUAUACGCUCUUGUAUUGUGGCACCAGCAAUAAGCAGUGGUAUCAGCCACAACCGGCACUCAGCACUAACUUCACCAGAAAUGUAUCAUCGACACGUGUUUUGUCAUCAAAUGCAACACAAGUUCUAAAUGCGACCUCGAAACCUAUAACAGAAGUACAACUAUGGGGUUAAGGUGGUCGAGAUGAGCCGGAAGCAGCGAAUCCUUCACUAUUGCCAUGAUGCCACCACUUCGGUUAAUCCUGUCACGUCGGAUAGUGAAAUAUCCAGGUAUGCUUAGGACAUUAUUUGCUGACAGCCAUGCCUCUGUGAUGCAGACAAUGUCCACAGGAUGAAGCUCCAGAAAUGACUGCAUGUCCUGUUUCUUACUACAGAUACUACGAACAUUGAGAAUUAGACCGGAGAUGGAAUUCCUGUAAGUCUUUGAAGAUGCAGGGAAGUCCAAAGGAUAGUUCUUCAAAUUAUUUUCAGGUCCCAAUGUAGAAUUGAGCUCAUGAUUACUGCCAAACUCCUCAUGGAAUGAACUGUCAGAGCAUGAGAAAAUGGCAGCUUGUACACACAGUAUGGGCAGAACCAGUCCACAGUGCUAGAUAUUAACUCAUUGUACUGGGUGAUUGACAUUUCAGUGAUGCAUUUCUAAUGCCAAACUUUGUUGCAGUCUUCCCAGAGAAGAGAUCUCUUAUUACUUUUCACUGCGUGUGACCUCGGUUGUAAUAGUCUAUAUUUUACCUUCACCUGUCAUAGCGUAAAAAUAAAUAUGACAUUUACUUUCGUAUAAAGGGUCACCUUUGCCAGACCUUUUACACAAAAGAUGACCUCGUGCAGUUCUGCAAAACAGGUUGACUCAUUGUACAAAAUAAAUAUGACGAAUCUACUUUCGUAUAAAGGGCCACCUUUUACCUUCACCUGUCAUAGCGUAAAAAUAAAUAUGACAUUUACUUUCGUAUAAAGGGUCACCUUUGCCAGACCUUUUACACAAAAGAUGACCUCGUGCAGUUCUGCAAAACAGGUUGACUCAUUGUACAAAAUAAAUAUGACGAAUCUACUUUCGUAUAAAGGGCCACCUUUUACCUUCACCUGUCAUAGCGUAAAAAUAAAUAUGACAUUUACUUUCGUAUAAAGGGUCACCUUUGCCAGACCUUUUACACAAAAGAUGACCUCGUGCAGUUCUGCAAAACAGGUUGACUCAUUGAACUUAGUCUUUUGUUCCGCGUUUUGCGCUGUCACUGCUCUAGGGCUAUACACAACUAUACCCUUAUAAAAAAUCCACUAUAGUUUCACCAUUAUAAAUUUGUAGUUUUACUAUAGUUCAUCAAAGUUUACUAUGAUAAGUAUAAUAUAUGUAAAGUGUUGUGUAAGGUAAAGUUACUGUAAUUUUACUAGAGUAAAUACUGCAGUAUUAUUGUAGAAAAUUUAAAGUUAACUUGUAGUAAAUAUAUGGUGCCGUAUUAAAGUUUACUGCAGUUUCACAUCAUACAAAAACUAUAGAAACACUAAAGUACGACUACAGUUUUAACACUCUACGUUCUACACAUUUACUGUAGUUUCAAUACAUCCAAAAACUGUACUAUUACUUUUUUAAACGCUGAAGUAGGACUAUAGUUUUAACACAAUACUUUCUGCAUAUUAACUGUAGUUUCACUGCAUCCAACAAUUGUAGUUUUACUUUUUAAAAACUGAAUAUAGGACUACAGUUUUAACACAAUACUUUCCGCAUAUUAACUGUAGUUUCACUACUUCCAAAAACUGUAGUAUUGCUUUUUAAAAACUGAAAUUAGGACUAUAGUUUUAACACAAUACUUUCUGCAUAUUAACUGUAGUUUCACUGCAUCCAAAAGUUGUAGUUUUACUUUUUUAAAACUGAAGUUAGGACUAUAGUUUUAACACAAUACUUUCUGCAUAUUAACUAUAGUUUCACUACAUCCAAAAAUUGAAGUUUUACUUUUAAAAAAAAAAUGAAGUUAGGACUAUAGUUUAAUUUUUUGCAUAUUAACAGUAGUUUCACUACAUCCGAAAACUUUAGUUUUACUUUUUGAAAACUGAAGUGGGACUACAGUUAACACAGCACUUUCUACAUAUUAAUUGAAGUUUCACUACAUCCAAAAACUGUAGUUUUAGUUUUAAAAGUGAAGUGGGACUACAGUUUUUAACACAGUGCUUUCUUCUGUGUCACUUUUUCACCAAAACUCAACAACAACUUCAAAUCUAAAGUAAUCAUAUUAGUCUUGUAACAGUUUUUACGUGUAUUUGUACAUUACAUGUAGUUCUUCAAAUCUAACGUGUACUCAUUUUUCAGCAGAAAAAUAAGCCAUACGAAUUACUUAAGUACGUGUAGUCAUGUUUCCAAAAAUAAUAUGCCUUGUGGAGACUUGACAAAACUGCAUGAUCUCCAUACAUCGAACUGCAUGUGAGGGACACCAAAUAAUUAGUCUACCACUCGCAUUCUGAACCAUGCAACAUAUUGAAUAUGCUACAGCACCAUAUCUGCACAACACAGUUUAUUGAGCUAAACAGGAAACAGCCCACAUGUUACAUCAUCAAGAGAAUCAUAUGUUACAUGCCUAGCCGAACACACACACACAGCAUGCAUAGUGUAGCAUAUAUAGGCAAGUCACAAUACGCAAUGACCUUGCAUACCAGAUAAACGGUCAGUGUGGAAAAUUUGAAAACUGCAUUCAGUUGCAAUAAUGCUGUAGUGCUUUGCAAGAGGCCAGAAAAGUUGAGUUAAACUGGGUCAAAAUCAUGCCAAUUAUUUGCAUGACAUGUGUGCCUGAUGUGGACAUAGGUUACUGUUCAUGUGCAUACGCAUCCAUAUCCCACAUGGUUAGCAUGUAGAAAUACACUGGAUGGAUGAUCGGUGGACAUGUUGGAGCUUAAGAGUUAUAGACAUGAUGAUGCCUGGCAUGGUAUGCCUGGACCAUGGAGAAAUGCCUGGACUCUUGUCUCACGGAGUCACGCUUCACAAUCACAAGCUGUUGUAUGCGAUACAUCGUACAGCAUUAGCACCAAGAACUUAUCCCCCAACCCCUGACAAAAGUUUGGUCAUGUUGGUGAUGUGUAAAAACAUGUAUUAUAAACCACAGCAAUCCAGGUAUUCCAUUCAGCCAUACAUACUGUACAUAUGUUUGUUACUCUAUUAAUUUACUUGGGCUCAUGGGAAAUUUCACAACAAGAUUUCAUUGCAUCCUACUUUUGCCAAGAACAAACUUAACAAAGAAAGUUUAGCAAUAAAUUAUAUUCAAUUUCAGGGCAAGCUGAAAAACAUGUAUAUGCUGGAAGUACAUUUUCAUAAUUUUACCUUUUACAAGGCAUUGCAGAUGAUAUGCGUAUUACUUCAUUAACAUGUAAGCUGUGGGCAGUCUUUGUUUGUUUAAAGUUUCACAGUCACAACCCUUCAAUUCAAACUUUGAAAACUAUUCUUGUUGAUAGAUGGCCCAUUUUCAUUAUAAAAGACACUUUGAACAGACAAAUGUGCUUUUUGUGGCAAACAUUGUCACAAUAAAACCGGGGCUUCGUUGUGUUUAAAGACUGCACCAUCCCCUUUGUAAUAACCCAAACUUAAGUGUAUUCAGCUGUAUUUUUCAGCUGUUUAUUUUCCUGUUCAUAACUUUUUUAAGACCGUAAUAUUUUUAAGGUUAAAAUGUUUUGCUGUUAUCAACUCGAUAUACAUGAACAUGUAGGUUUAAUUUUAUACAACAGUCUUGGAUGCAUACAUUGUGUGCAUGGAUUUGUACAAUGUGAACAAGUCCUUUUUCUAAGAUACAGAUUUAAGACACCCUGUUUGUGCAGUCAUGAAGCAAAAUUUGAGCUUAAUUGAAGGAUUAGACCAUAUUUUAAUUGCCUUCAAAAACCUGUGCAUUCCUGUUUGAGAAGAAUGCUUGUGUAUGCAUUUUUGAACAUUUGAUUCAUGUUUAGUUAAAUGAUUUUUUUAUUUUUGCACUUUUUAGGGUGACAUGUCAUUUAAACAUCAUAAAUAUGUUAAUGUUAGUAAAAGUAAUGUACAUGUAUUUAAUACUUUUUUGCAGGUGCCAUAUAAGCCAGGUGCCACAACAUUGACGUACAUGUACAUGUUUAUUGUUUAACUUAGUCUCUUUUUGCAGAUAACAUGUGUAACACAAGUAUGAGCUGAUAACUCCUUCGUUAUAUUUUUCAAUUUAUUUUACCCUUUGACAAGUUCAAUUUACUGUCUUUAAACACUUUUUGCAUCAAAACAGUUCUUUAGCUCAUUUAACAAAUAACUGAAAGUGAAGAUACAAUUUUUUUCAAGUACAUGUACAUGUAUUUGCUCAACUUGUGAAAUGUAAAUUUUAUUUUAUUUGUGUGA